rnacentral:rRNA from 1 species
AUUGAACGCUGGCGGAAUGCUUUACACAUGCAAGUCGAACGGCAGCACGGACUUCGGUCUGGUGGCGAGUGGCGAACGGGUGAGUAAUGUAUCGGAACGUGCCCAGUCGUGGGGGAUAACGUAGUGAAAAUUACGCUAAUACCGCAUACGAUCUAUGGAUGAAAGCGGGGGAUCGCAAGACCUCGCGCGAUUGGAGCGGCCGAUAUCAGAUUAGGUAGUUGGUGGGGUAAAGGCCCACCAAGCCAACGAUCUGUAGCUGGUAUGAGAGGACGACCAGCCACACUGGAAAUGAGACACGGUCCAGACUCCUACGGGAGGCAGCAGUGGGGAAUUUUGGACAAUGGGCGCAAGCCUGAUCCAGCCAGUCCGCGUGCAGGAUGAAGGCCCUCGGGUUGUAAACUGCUUUUGUACAGAACGAAGAGGUUUCUACUAAUACUAGGAGCUCAUGACGGUACUGUAAGAAUAAGCACCGGCUAACUACGUGCCAGCAGCCGCAGUAA